rnacentral:rRNA from 1 species
AACGCGAAGAACCUUACCAGGUCUUGACAUCCUCUGACACUCCUAGAGAUAGGACGUUCCCCUUCGGGGGACAGAGUGACAGGUGGUGCAUGGUUGUCGUCAGCUCGUGUCGUGAGAUGUUGGGUUAAGUCCCGCAACGAGCGCAACCCUUGAUCUUAGUUGCCAGCAUUCAGUUGGGCACUCUAAGGUGACUGCCGGUGACAAACCGGAGGAAGGUGGGGAUGACGUCAAAUCAUCAUGCCCCUUAUGACCUGGGCUACACACGUGCUACAAUGGAUGGUACAAAGGGUCGCAAAGCCGCAAGGUCUAGCCAAUCCCAUAAAACCAUUCUCAGUUCGGAUUGCAGGCUGCAACUCGCCUGCAUGAAGCCGGAAUCGCUAGUAAUCGCGGAUCAGCAUGCCGCGGUGAAUACGUUCCCGGGCCUUGUACACACCGAUAGC